rnacentral:rRNA from 1 species
GGAAUAUUGCGCAAUGGACGAAAGUCUGACGCAGCGACGCCGCGUGUGGGAUGAAGCUCUUCGGGGUGUAAACCACUGUUGCCAGGGAAGAAACUCCUGAUUCGUCAGGACUGACGGUACCUGGUGAGGAAGCACCGGCUAACUCUGUGCCAGCAGCCGCGGUAAUACAGAGGGUGCGAGCGUUGUCCGGAAUCACUGGGCGUAAAGGGCGCGUAGGUGGCGGGAUAAGUGUGUGGUGAAAGCUCGGGGCUCAACCCCGAGUCUGCCAUGCAGACUGUCUUGCUUGAGCGUAGUAGAGGCAGGUGGAAUUCCGGGUGUAGCGGUGGAAUGCGUAGAGAUCCGGAAGAACACCGGUGGCGAAGGCGGCCUGCUGGGCUACUGCUGACACUGAGGCGCGACAGCGUGGGGAGCAAACAGGAUUAGAUACCCUGGUAGUCCACGCCGUAAACGAUGGGUACUAGGUGUCUGGGGGAGCGACCCCCUGGGUGCCGGCGCUAACGCAUGAAGUACCCCGCCUGGGGAGUACGGCCGCAAGGCUGAAACUCAAAGGAAUUGACGG